rnacentral:sRNA from 1 species
CCCAGGUGGGGAAGACGUCGCUGAUCCUGUCCCUGGUGGGCGAGGAGUUCCCCGAGGAGGUAAGGGGCACGCCCGCCGCGGGGGUGGGAGCGGGCCCAGCCGGGGGUCCCUGGUGAGCGCGCGGGUCCCUUGCAGGUCCCUCCCCGCGCGGAGGAGAUCACGAUCCCCGCGGACGUCACCCCGGAGAAGGUGCCCACCCACAUCGUGGACUACUCAGAAGCCGAGCAGACGGACGAGGAGCUGCGGGAGGAGAUCCACAAGAUUCGAACUAAGUGGAUCCCACUGGUGAAUGGGGGGACCACGCGGGGGCCCAGGUAAUGAGGGGGAUGUGGAAGGGGCUGGGACUCCUGGCUCCCCUGCCCCUGGUGACCAUGGGCCUUCAACCCAGGGUGCCCAUCAUCCUAGUGGGCAACAAGUCAGACCUGCGGUCGGGGAGCUCCAUGGAGGCCGUGCUCCCCAUCAUGAGCCAGUUUCCCGAGAUUGAGACCUGCGUGGAGUGUUCGGCCAAGAACCUGAGGAACAUCUCAGAGCUGUUCUACUACGCCCAGAAGGCCGUCCUGCAUCCCACAGCCCCCCUCUAUGACCCUGAGGCCAAGCAGGUGUGCCCCCGCCCCACCCUCGGUGCCCAGCCCCCUUGAACCUCCGCUGCCGUUAGUGACUGGAACGGGCCGUCUCCGGGUGGCUGGCUGACUCCCAACAACGUUCUCUCGGAAGCAGAAAUCCUGCUUUGGGCACCCCCUGGCCCCGCAGGCCCUGGAGGACGUGAAGACGGUGGUGUGCAGGAA